rnacentral:rRNA from 1 species
CUACGGGUGGCAGCAGUGGGGAAUAUUGGACAAUGGGGGAAACCCUGAUCCAGCAAUGCCGCGUGUGUGAAGAAGGCCUGCGGGUUGUAAAGCACUUUCGGUUGGGAGGACUGCUUCUAGCACUAAUAUUGUUGGAAGUUGACGUUACCUUCAGAAGAAGCACCGGGUAACUCCGUGCCAGCAGCCGCGGUAAUACGGAGGGUGCAAGCGUUAAUCGGAAUUACUGGGCGUAAAGCGCGCGUAGGCGGCUAGAUCAGUCGGGUGUGAAAGCCCCGGGCUUAACCUGGGAACUGCAUCCGAUACUGUCUAGCUUGAGUACAGGAGAGGAGAGUGGAAUUCCACAUGUAGCGGUGAAAUGCGUAGAUAUGUGGAGGAACACCAAUGGCGAAGGCAGCUCUCUGGCCUGAUACUGACGCUGAGACGCGAAAGCGUGGGGAGCAAACAGGAUUAGAUACCCUCGUAGUC